AUUGAACGCUGGCGGCAGGCCUAACACAUGCAAGUCGAACGAGUGGCGGACGGGUGAGUAAUGUCUGGGAAACUGCCUGAUGGAGGGGGAUAACUACUGGAAACGGUAGCUAAUACCGCAUACCAUCGGAUGUGCCCAGAGUGAAUUAGCUGGUGGGUGGGGUAACGGCUCACCAAGGCGACGAUCCCUCGCUGGUCUGAGAGGAUGACCAGCCACACUGGAAAUGAGACACGGGCCAUACUCCUACGGGAGGCAGCAGUGGGGAAUAUGUCAUCAUGGGCGCAAGCCUGAUGCAGCCAUGCCGCGUGUAUGAAGAAGGCCUUCGGGUUGUAAAGUACUUUCAGCGGGUAGGCGUUACCCGCAGAAGAAGCACCGGCUAACUCCGUGCCAGCAGCCGCGGUAAUUC
rnacentral:rRNA from 1 species